AUUUUUUAUUUUAAAACCAACUAGUCCAAAAAUUAAAGAAACUUUUAGAGCUAGCCAUUUAUUUGAUAUAAGAAACCCUUAUUUCACUGGGAAAAUUAAGAAACUAAAUAAGAAACUUUUGGAACUAAAACAUGGAAUUUCAGCCUACAAAUAAGAAACUUUUAAAACUAGGCCAGGUUUCUUAUAAAAAAAAACAUGUACUAAGAGAAUCACAAGUCAUGACUGGUGGGAUUGUGGUAAAGUGCUCACUUCCAGUGCAAAAGGGCUUUGGUCCAAACUCCUGCCAAGUGGUGCUGCAGAUUAGUGGUUAUAGCUCUCGUACUCUGUGCAGGAGACCGGGGUUCGAUUCCUCUUGACGGCGAUUCAACAUGGGCGAGUGAACGUUAUCAUAGCCCCGGAUUAACCCAAGCCAUGUGAGGGAAAUUGGGGAGAUGGCUCCAUGUGUGGGCCGUUGGAUGUUGCAGGGAAUUGUGUAGUAGAGCGCCACAGCUGUUUCGCUACGGUCAAACCGCGGACAAAAUUAAAAUGGCUUCCACAAUUUUUUUUGAAAUUUUGUAUUUUUAUCAUUUUUUAAGUUUUUGAAACUUUUUUUGUAUUGUUUUAAUUUUACUGAAAUAAAAAGUAUUAAAACGACCUACUUUUCUUCUUUUUUAAUAUAUAAAUAUGUUAUACAUUUGUGUUAUGGAUUUCGAGUUAUUUCGUCGAAUAAAACACACAAAAUUAAAAAAAACAUUAUUUUUGGCGAAAGUAUACCAUCUUUCCAACCUCGUGGCAACGCCGCGCUACUAGCUACGGACUUGAAAAUUGGUAUGGGGGGCCUGGAAACAUGGUUCUAUUGGCCGGUACCGUGCACCGUUCGUCUCGCAAACUAUAAACUACUUAAAUUUUAAGUUAAAGUCUUCUUUAGGCGCUAAAAAAGAGGAGAAAAAGUUGCCAAAGUGGUGCACGGCGAUUUGAUGUAGUGUGAUCCCUUUUCUGUCUAAUUAAAUAAUUAUCUAAACUUCUAAGAGAGUCAUAGCGAUGCCAUUUAAUGUUUUGUUAGGUAUGGUUUUUCUCAAAAAAAUUACGGCGGCGUGGUGUUUACCUUGGACUUGAUUGCUCGACCCGGGAAUCCUGGUUCGAAACCGGAAUUUUUCGAAAAUGUUGGAAUAAGCGAGACAACGGUGUCUUUGCAAUUUUUUAGCUAGCUAAAGUUUGGCAGAGCACGAGUUAAGACUUUGGUGGGCUUUCUCAAGAUGAAAUUGUUAAAAUCAAAGAUGUUUUUAGCUACCUAGCUAGCUAAUCUUGGCUUUAACACAAGAUUGGGUGCUAUUUUAUACAGUUUAUAAAGAAACACAAAAUGAUUGCUUUGUAUAUAUAUAAUAAAUAAAAUAUUUAUGCACAACUUGAGGUAUUUUCUUCUAGCAUGAUAAACUAAA